rnacentral:lncRNA from 1 species
CCAAGGGGAAGAAUAAUUGUGUUCUGAGGCCAUAUGAUCUUUUCGGAAUUGCUUUACAGAUUUCAGGCGAUCGACGCUGAAUCCGCACAACGAGCAUUCUUACUUAAAACAAGACGAUAGCUCCUUUGGGAAUUAAUUUCGAAAGUAAAUAAAAAUACCUGCAUUCCAUUGUUUCACCGAUAGCAUGACAAUUUCCUGUAUUUGGUCUGUUUUGGAUACAAAAUUAAUGAAAACUCAUGGCUUACGUAAAUUAUUAGAGGAGUAUCCGAUGGACUUUGGUUACUAUUAUUUAUUCAAACCUGCAAA